AGCAUGGUUCAGAAAAGGUCAAGAAUCCUGGCUUUAGAGAAAACUUGAAGUUAUUUUAAUACCUAGUUAUAGAACAGGAAUUGUGCUGUUAUAUAUGAGUGUAUUAAACAUGUUGCUAAAUACUUUUUCCACAGGUUGCUGAUGAUGGUUAUGGUGUGUCUUACAUUCUUGUGGGUGAACACCUCAUCCAUUUCCAUGUGUCCAGCAAAUUCUCUUGUCCUGAGACAGAUUCUCAUCGUUUUGGAAAAAACAUCAAGCAAGCAAUGGUUGACACCAUAGCUUUAUUUGGCGUUGGUAUGAACUCUACCAAGUGAUUCCCUAAUAUCAAUGCCAGUGUCCUACCACUGCGGUGAGAACUCUUGACUGAUCAAUGAAUGAAAGCAAGAUGUACUACGCAACGGUUAGAGGGGCAUUUGGGCCAUAAUCCUCCAGUGAUCACCUGUGAAUAGGAUUCAACACCUAGGCUGAGGUUCAAAUGUCCUAUCACUUUGCAAUAGCUCAGAAGAUUUUCUUCCCAUAAGGGAUAACUUUAGACAUCCUAUGUGAUUCUAGGGAUAGUAUAAGGCAACAUCAUGUGAAAGGCAUGUGUACUGUAGCUACUGUAGGCCUGUCUCAAUUUUGUGUACAUUUAGUAACUUUUUACUUAAAAUCUGGGUCUACUUGUAUUUCAUAAAUGAGUGGAUAAAAUUUAUUAAGUCAACCUCAAUCAGCAGAAAGUAUUUUACUUCAUACAUACUAGUAGCAAAACAUCAAUUAGUAUGUCUGCUGCUUCUGUCUGAGUGACAAAACCUGUGGCUAUUCAUCUAAGUUGUCACUUUUUAAAGGUAUUUCUUUGCAUUGAAAAUAUAUCACAACCUGACAUAACCUACUGUAAUGCACUAACUGAAAAUAUAUUGUGCUUCUUGGCAAUAAGUAAAUGCUGCAGUGGGUGGUAAAAUAGUUGUAUUACAUAAAAGAAUGGCAGGUAUCACCUAUUUUCCUCUGUUUUAUAAGCAUAGUUUACCACAUCCUAAAUUCUGUUAACAUCUGAACAUACCUGCAUGUUGUAUGAGCCAAUGCCUUAAAAAUGGAGGGUCUCAAAUACAGGGAAAUCUUACACUGUGGGAUUCUUGUUUUUUUAAUUAUUUCUAUAAAUUUUCUAUGCUGAACAAGUGGAAUGGGAUUGUAAAUUUAAUUCUCAAAUUGAUUUAUUUAGGUGAAACACAGGAUAUGAGUUCAUGUUUUUACACAUUACAAUUUGGCUGAGGGCCUCUAUGUGAAAUGCCCCUUUUUCCAUCUAAUGAAAGACCAGUCCUGGUGAGACAAUGAACUAACUUUUGUUUCAGAACCACAUUUCUAAAAACACCAUUUUGCUGUAUAAGUCACCAAAGAUAACUGCUGCAUCUCAUGCAUGUUUUCUGCAGGACUCCAGGGAAUGUAGCCAUUAGCUACAUACAAACCUGUUGGGCAGUCCAUAGACUGUCUGCAGAUAAGGAACUGCAUCUUGUCUACCCUCAUGCUUAAAGCAGCACUCACCACAUUUCCAAACAUCUUUACAGGGAAAGGAUUAAGACAGCCAAAUGGUAAUGCCAGAAUGGUGAAAUCUAGCAUUCUCUGGUCUCUGCCUGGAGCGGCUCUGGGUAGGGUCAGGGUGAAUCAACACAUAGUUAAUGAGGAAAGGAAAUGGGGAGAGACGGAGGGAGGGGGGAAAAACAGCAGUACCACUCAGAAAGGUAUAUAAUGGAAAUUUUAAAAGCGGAGUAAAGAAACCUUCACAGUUCAUGGUUGCUAUGAAAUUAAAUGAAGUAGCUUUUUGUGAUGCCUCUCUUCCCUGGGAUUCAAGGUUGUGUUCCUUUUAGACAGUCUUUAUAUCACACAAGCCUAAGCAGCAUAAAAUGUGGCAAGUACUUAUCAAAGCAACUGUAUAUAAAAGGAUCAUGUAACAUAUACAGCGGUGGUCAUUACAAAAAUGACUGCUGCUCCAGGGCUAUAACAACAUUAACAGCCCUGUAAAGGAAAAUGUCUAAUUUAUCUUUAGAUUGAGAAUAUGAAUAUUUUCUGACCCUUAUCUUGUUUUGACUCUGCCACGUAAAUUUUUUUCCCUCUGGGUUUCACACGAAUUCAAUACACAAGUUUGGGAAGAGGCCCUGCUGAAGAUUACAGAUGCAUAGUCAUGUAAAUAUUGUAAUGCGGGAACCGGACAGAAGUGAGUCAGAUGAUUUUUAUUGGGUCAGAUAGUGUGCAGGCAAAGAGAUUAUCAAAUAAGCCUUACUGCAAUUGGCAGGCAUGGCAUCUAAUCAGACUAUUGCAGCAACUUCACAGUGAAUUGUCCUUUUGGAGCUGCAGAAAUCAUGCACUAUUUAUAAUGACCACUGACCAAUCUGUAUUAACAUUGACAUAUUAGCUUUUGUAGGAGAAUUUUUUAUUAAGAAAAUAUUUAGGUUUGACUCUCAGGUUUUAAAUGUUUCAUAUGUAAUUGUAGGUAGUGCAGUUAUCAAUGCAAUUUUACAUUCCUUAAGAGAGUGUAAAUAUAAUUGGCACAGGAAGAGUUUGUUUUUAUUGUAUAUGUUGAAAAGGAUAAGUCUUAUGUAUUUUUUAUUUGGAGCAGAUAAUUUCUAAACAUAGUUUGUAUUUCAUUUAUCUUAGAAUGUCAACUGCAUGUAAAUAAAAAUGUGCUCUUUUGGAUGUAAAUCUUAAAUGCACAGUGAAUGUAGGUUAUCAAUUAAAAGUUUUUUAAUCUUUCUAUCGUCUACAUUAUGUACACAGUGAAAUUGCUCACUUUUGUUUGCAUAAGUUGUAUGAAAAUGACAGUUUACCUAUAAUUUUUAGUGUGGUACACACAAUACUAAGAAGCAUGGCCAAGUUAAAAUAUUGUGUAUAUAUUUAGAAAAAUUCUUGGUUGAUUCUCAACCAAUGAUUUAAGGAGGACAAAGCAAAGGUUGAGUAGGCAAUAGAAUCUGGUAGGAAUUAUAGUAAAUCAGUUAUUACAUGGCACUGAGGAAUUGGCUGGACAACUCAAUUGUGCAUUUCCAGAAUUUCUAAUAUUUAGCUUUUUGGUGUGAUUUGAGACACUUAAUAUUUAGGUGUUAACACUUACCUGGUGAUUGGCCCUAACUAUUUUUAAAGUUUUCGGGGGUUUUUUGUUUUUGGUGGGAAUAAGGAUUAGGGUUUCUGACUUUAGCCCUACAAGUUUAAAAAAGUUCCUAACUUAUUAUGCUUUGUACUAUAUUGAUUUCCUAUAUCAGAUUUACUAAUUUACACUGGUUUUAUCAUGCUCAUUUAUUCCACUUGUACCAUGGUUUCAUCAGUUAUUUACAUCUAACACUUCUAAUUUGUUUAAUUAUAUUUGUUCUGCCUUUCUAACUCUGAAAAAUAAAAAUUAAGGGUUUCACAAUUA